AACGAACGCUGGCGGCAUGCCUAACACAUGCAAGUCGAACGAGACCUUCGGGUCUAGUGGCGCACGGGUGCGUAACGCGUGGGAACCUGCCCUUAGGUUCGGACUAACUCCCCGAAAGGGGUGCUAAUACCGGAUAAUGUCUUCGGACCAAAGAUUUAUCGCCUUUGGAUGGGCCCGCGUUGGAUUAGCUAGUUGGUAGGGUAAAAGCUUACCAAGGCGACGAUCCAUAGCUGGUCUGAGAGGAUGAUCAGCAACACUGGGACUGAGACACGGCCCAGACUCCUACGGGAGGCAGCAGUGGGGAAUAUUGGACAGUGGGCGAAGGCCUGAUCCAGCAAUGCCGCGUGAGUGAUGAAGGCCUUAGGGUUGUAAAGCUCUUGUACCCGUGAUGAUAAUGACAGUACCGGGAGAAUAAGCUCCGGCUAACUCCGUG
rnacentral:rRNA from 1 species